UCGGGGGCCAUACUACGUAGCCUGGA
rnacentral:miRNA from 1 species